UGCUGAGACCUAGCGGAGAACGGAGGAACCGCAAGCGAGGGUUGGCGCACCUGAUGGAAUUCGGUGACGUCACGAGCACGUACAGAGACGUGGACGGCCGUGACCUUGUUUUGAUCAGCUGUACGGUAACUUAGCGAUAAGAAAAUAGACUAUUGGUUAAAUAAAUUUAAAUUUAAGUGUGUUUUAGGAGAAGAGGAACUUUCAGUAUAUUCCUUAAGAUGAGCUGAGCAGCAGUCCAGUUUACAAGAUGACAAGAGUUCGAGAGACAAGAUACAAGAUCACUGAAACAAGAGCCAAGACUGAAGAUUCAAGAGAAGAGAAAGCUGGCAGCCAUGGACUUACAAGUGGAGAUUAAUAAGGUCAUGUAAAGUUUUAUUUUUUUUAUGGAAGACAGUAACUGGAGUUUUUUUUUGUUAUAAACAUUAUUUACAGAACUUUUUAGGUUAUAGUAAUGUAAUGGAACUAGUGAGUUGUGGUAGCUGUCAAAAAGAACUAAUACCUUAAGUUUAAUUUUUAAAGUUAAUUUUCUUAAUUUACAGAGGGAUUAGUAGUUUUUUUUAAAACCUUAUUUAGGUUGGAAUUUCAAUACAAUAGCUUAUUAUAAAUGUGUACGAACAGUUCAAGUUCACAGUACUGAUAGGUAGGUCAGAUGAUCUUAUUGAUUUUGAUGAUUUGUUGUUUUGAGUUGAUUUUUAAGUGUUGUGAAUUAGACAAUGAAAUAGUUCUGAAAACUUAAAUUAUUUCAAGCUAAGAAAUAGCAAAUUUAAUUGUAACUCGAAGGACACCAGAAUUUACUUUUUUUUUGAAUUAGUAAUGUUUGAAAAUUUUAUACUUUACAAGAAAGGUUAUAAACAAACAGAUCGGAUGGAACAAGGAUGCAGUAAAUCACAAUUUCAUUUAGAAUUAUUGAUUAGCUUUUGAGGUUAUGAAGUAAAAGUAAUUAUAGUUUAAAAGUUUGAAUAAAAAAAAAUGUUUUUUUUUUUAUUUGUUUCAAAUAGAAAGUUUAAAAGUUAAUUAGUCAUGAUCUAGGUGGGUGAUGGGGUGGGAAUUGGCCACUCUUUUUCCCUAUAACCUCCCUAACAUGGCCUUCUAUUACAACUAACAGAAAUAAAGAAGAAGAAAAAUGAAGAAUUAUUAGUUAGAAUGUUUCUUUCAUGAAGAUACCUGAUGAACUUUUACUGUUUGGAAGAAUAGAAGCAAGGUUAGUCAGAUAUUUUUACUCAGAAGAAGAAGAAGAUAAAGCAGUUUUAUGACUCGACAAGCCAGAGAUUGGUGUUUCCCCUCUGCGCUUCUAUUGACUACGUUGUUUACUCUCAUGGGAUAGCUGGUUCGGCACCAUGGAGAGAGAUUGGUGGGCAUUGUGGUUGCCCCCAGAAGAAAAGAAGAGUAGAAGAGGUUAUGGGUGGGUCAUGUGAACUGACCUUCAACCCAGUUACUUCGUGGGGACUAUUUGCUGUAUAGAGAAGAUCAAGACUCAAGAGUUAGGGAAAAUCAUUGGAGGUCAUGUUUCCCUUCCUUAAGUUUUUCCUAUCAAAUUAUUUGCCUGAUUAGAUUAUGCUAAGGGUGGGAUACUUUAUGUUAGCAGUUGAAUUAAUUAAUUUUAUUUUUUUGUGUGUUUGCAUCCUUGCCCAUCGAUUGCAGUUUAGUAGUUAGUUUUGUAUUUGUCAGGCGUGAUGGUAAUGCCUGUUGAUGAUGUUUCAGAAUUGUAAUCUGUUCGUGAUGAGGAUGGCACAACUCCGAAGCAGAUGUGGGGAGAAGUUGUGAGCUGCCCUGGAAGCCAGUCCAGUAGCUGUUGGAGUUGAGUGGUGUUUGCUGAUGGCCAGCCCAGGGAGCUACUCUUCUCGACAACACUGACUUCGAGGAGUUGCACCAACCUUCACGAGAUAAGAGUUUAAUUAAUUGAAACACUGUAAGGACACUUAAUUUUUUUUGAAGAACGAAAGAAGUAUGGUAAUAAACGGAAACCGAAAAAAAAAAA